GGAUCUAUGUAAUAAGGAAGGAAGCUAAUAGCCUAAGAGCAAAUAUCAGAGGAAUUUCCCAACCCAGACAAUUCAAAUCCACCUUCUCUCAGAAUUUAUAUAAGGAAAAAAAGAAUCUCCAUCAGGGAUGAAGGGAGACUGGGGCUGCAGACACUCAGGGGUAGUGACAUCACAGGCAAAGCCACCAACCAAGGAGGAGGAGACCAGAGACCAGCCCCCUUGCCCAGGGCAUCCUAGUUUGUUGAGGCCACUUUGAACAGACUCCACCAUGUGCCUCGGGGUGCUCUGCCCUGUGGUCCUCUGUCUCCUGGGAGCAGUCUCUGUGGACACUGGAGUUACUCAAACACCCAGAUACCUGGUCCUGGGAACGAGAGAUAAGAGAUCUUUGACUUGUGAACAAGAUCUGGGACAUAAUGCUAUGUACUGGUAUAAACAGAGUGCUCAGAAUCCAAUAGAGCUCAUGUUCACCUGUAACAACAAGGAACCUACUAGAAAUGAGUCUGUUCCAAGUCGCUUCAGGCUUGACUGCCCAGAGAGCUCCUCCCUUUACCUGCACGUGGACGCCCUGAAACCAGAAGACUCGGCCGUGUAUCUCUGCGCCAGCAGUAGAGACACAGCCCUGCAGAGCCAGCCGCUUCCUCUGCACAAACCUCGAGCACCCAGCCAGGAGGCUGUGGGGCCAACCAAGGUCGGUUCCCCAUUUCCUGGAAGACCCUCAAUGGAAAGCUCAGACCCUGAGACCGCCUGCGGGCUCAUGGCCAUGGCUCUUCUGAGUUCCAUCACAGCCACCAGCCACCUGUCCUGAGCAAGACUGGGCCUGCAGCUGAAUGUAGGACGAUGUUCAAGUCUAUCCCACGCAUUUUCCAAUGGGCUGGCCUCCCCGGAAAGCCUUUUGGGAGACACUUGACCCUCUGUCCUCCCAGUCCUGCUUCCAAUAGGUGCCUGUCUCUGACUUCUUCCAUCCAAGUUCAGCUGGGUUUUCAGAUCUGACUCCAGCCACACAUAUGCUCAGACACUUUUCAAAGUGCCUCAUUCCCUCAGCAGGGGCUCU